CUGAAAUUGAAGUUUUGACGUCGAAAUCAAGCCUUGCCGGAUUCUGCAAAUUUCGCCGGAUUCUGGAAAUUUUCCGGCCACCUCGACUGUUCUAGGUUAUCGACGGAUUGAUUUGGUGGACGAUUCGGAUUGAUGUAUUUGGCUUUUUAGAAGACGCAGCUGGAUUAGAGGUUAUCGACGGAUUGAUUUGGUGGACGAUUCGGAUUGAUGUAUUUGGCUUUUUAGAAGACGCAGCUGGAUUAGAGGUGAGUAAACCUCACGUGGUUCAUAUUACGAACCGAAUAAAUUUAAUUACCUUAUUUUGUCGUAAUUGCGUGAAAAUAUUUAUGGAAUAAAUAUUUGUUUUAAAAUCAUAUGGACUUGAUCAACUACGGUCCAUGGGUAAGUAAAAUGAUUUUUACUAUACAAAUGAAUUUCUCAGUUUUAUUGCAUGUGAACUAUAGUUGGUAUUAGUGAUUAUCCCUGAGCGGAUAAUUACGUAUAUAUAUAUUUACGUGAUUAUAUGUGAAUGGUGUGACAUUGAAGAGUGUGGAAUUGGGAUGAUUAAAUUAUUAUGAAUUGACAUGUGACUUACCAUAUUUUUAUGUGAUGAACAUGAUUGAUGAGUUCUUGUUAAUAUUCAAGAUUUACAUUGGAGGAUGUAUAGAGUUGGAGAAAGUAGGAUUCUGAGGACGAGGUGUCCGAAGUUCGACGGUUAAGGAUAACCGGAGUGUUUGUGUACUGAGGACGGGGAUGUCCAAGGUGCGACGGUUUAUUAUUAACCGAAGUUGUGUACUGAGGACGGGGAUGUCCAAGGUGCGACGGUUUAUUAUUAACCGAAGUUGUGUGCUGAGGACGGGGAUGUCCAAAGCGCGACGGUUUAUUAUUAACCGAAGUAUAUGGUGCUGAGGACGGGGAUGUCCAAAGCGCGACGGUUAUAGUGUUAACCGAAGUAUUUUUGCCGUUGCUUGACCCUAGGCCAAGGUGUCAGAGGUAACGAGGCAGUUAGAGCUCUAACGUGUUAUGGGAUGGGACCAAAGUGGUGAUAGUGUUGUGAGAUAGGACCAAAGUGGUGAUAUUGAAUUGGUUUGACGUUUGCGUCGUGGAUGUUGAGAUUGUUGGUUGUGUUGUCGAGUUAUAAGAAUUGUAAUUUAAAAUCAACAGUUCUUUCUUGUUUACUCAUACGAGCUUUAAAGAUUUCUUUAAAGCUUACCGGGUUUUGUGUUGUUGCCAAUUCCCGGUGCACUAUUAAAUUCAAAUGGUGUAGCGGGAAAUCCUACAGGUCAGGAAGAUCAAGGCGGAGAUCGUGCGGGUUAGAGUUUUUGUUUCAGUUUACAGCUUUGUAAAUUGUGAGAUGUAUUAUUAAGAGGUGUGAAGUGUGGUUGUUGUGAGAAAAAAAUUCAGGACGUUUAUUCUAUUAAGUUGUAUAAUUCAUGUUUCGGAUUUUAAUUGUAUUUAAAAUUCGGGGCG